rnacentral:rRNA from 1 species
ACCAGCAGACAUGUUACCUUGCAACUCACAACUACUGUAGCAGCCCACUGAAGCUAAGCAAGUGUGAGCCUGUUCAGUACCUGGAUGGGAGAUCUCCUGGGAAAAACUAAGGUUGCUGCUGGAA